UAUAUAUAUAUAUAUAUAUAUAUAUAUAUAUAUAUAUAUAUAUAUAUACAGCUGUGAUUGUCACUUAAUUAUAAGAUAAAGAGAACAUGAAGAGAAACACAUGUUAUAUCUACGUGCUUGGAAUGCAUAGUAUAUACGAUAGGAUUAUACAAGACCAUCUAAGAAAAGUUUGAAGAUGAAAAGACGAAGAAGAGAGAUACGUUGGAUGACGUUAAAGAGAAAGAGAGCAGCGGAGAUUUAUCGGCCGGCAUGAUAUACGCGAGCUCGAGUGCCGGUUAUUAUAAUAUCUCGACACGGCGGGUUAUGUGCUCGUGCAGGGUAUUAUGGUGAUAAGUGCUCUCUCGUGUGGGUGUCACGUGGAGGAGGAGACACGGAAGGAGAGAACGACAACGUGUGGGCACGCGUACGAUUGCGCGCGCACAGGUACAUACGAGUACUGUAGGACAAGUAAGAGGACGACAGAGAGCUACUUUAAAAGGCAAAUGAGAUAGAUAGAUAGAUAUAUAUAUAUAUAUAUAUAUAUAUAUAUAUAUAGAGAGAGAGAGAGAGAGAGAGAGAGAGAGAAGUGGAGAGAGGGGGAAGCGAAGAGAAAGGGAGAAAGAGAUUAUCUGCGGUGUGAUAGCAGAUUAUGUCUGCUUGCCUGGUAAACUGCCUCCGGCCUUCCCACCGUCUUCCCUUUCGACUCGACUCGUUCUUCUCGCCUGAAUUCGCUUCUGGUUUUACGUGAGAACGUUUUUGGUGAGAAUGAAAAGGAAUAUAUUUUCGUGCGUGCCAGAGAUAAUAACGAUAAUCGCAUGGCCGAUGUGUGGAGCUUGCCCGUUUAUUAUUAUUCUAAUUGCGGAAGGCCGAAUGGAAAAUGUAACAAUUGCUUUUGCGUUACAGCGAGGCGAAAUUGCUCUUCACAUUGACAAAAACCACAUUGGUUUUCCUCUUUCGGAAGAUCGAAAUGGACGACAGUGAACACAUGGAUAAGCAAUUCGUUUCAGCAUCGAUGUUUCCACUCGGUUACAUUAGUUUUAUGAUAUUUCGCUUUAUUUACGUAUAACUCGCGGUAAAACAAAUGAUUACUUAUUAUCAUUUGAACCUAAUUCAUAAUAAACAGUAUUCUUGAUUAAUAUCAAAAGAUAUUGCCAUAAAAAAAAUAUGUAUAUAAAUAUAUAUAUAUAUGUGUGUGUGUGUGUGUGUGUAUGUGUGUAUAUGUAUACUGAAUUAGGAAAAAUGUGAAAGAAGAAAAAGAAAGAUAAAAAUAUCGAGAAAAGCGAAUAGAAAAGCAGCGUUAACCUCGUAAAUAAUAAAAUAGAGAUAAAACAAGAUCCAAUGAAAGAAAAUCGAUGGCGCCGACUUUUUGAAAGCCUCAGCUCAUGAAUGUUACAGUACGACCCCUGUUCGAAGCUUUGCCAGACCGUAAAAACGGAGGCUGCUUACCACGAAGAUUUUAAUAUUUUAUCCUAUGACUUGAGAAAAAAUACAAGAUACUCUGUGAAUGGUUAGAAGAUAGGAAGGACUCAGAGAAAAGCUGCAUUAAAUGUCGCUAGAUCUGUCCUUUAAAUAUGCAUUCGUUUUAUAUUAAAACUAGACCAAAUCUAUUUAAACUUUCCAUAUUAAUCAUUCGCUAUUUCUGUAUAUAAAAUGAAUAUUUUAUUUCAAUCCGAUGAUUCCAUAUUUAUCAAGUAAAAUAAAAAUCAUAAACUCGAAGAUACUUUCUCGAAAUAUUUAUUACAAUACAUUAACGAAUAGAUCAUUUCUUGACUAAUUACUAAGUUACUAUUAAAUCAAUUACCAUCAUCGAGCCUAUAUAGCGAUAUUAAUUCGAUAAUCUUUUCGCUUUAGUGAAUAUACCUGCUGAUAUAUUAAUCCAAUUCAACCGCUUUGACUUUCAUUAAUGAACCGACGAAUAUUUUCUACAAAGUAAGCCGUCGUAGAACAUUAUAUCAGAGAGUGUCUCUUUUCGUUGGCUCGGCUUUGACGAGUGGUUAAAGCGACGCUGAAUUUGAUUUUCCGUAGCAAUAGGCUGAUAAUGCGGACGCGUAUGCAGCUGCUAAUAUUAUAAGAGCGGAAGGUCUGCCUGACGUUUUGGUUAGGUACAUUCUACGUCUGCCUAAUACAUGCACAGAUAUAUUCUAUCAACGCGUAGACCCUUUCGAAGUUAAUUCGAUCGAAGUGUGCGUACAUUAUCAGACUUCUCCCUGUUAAACCAACUUAAAAUCUUCUAUAUUAUUACUUGUACUUCCCUAUAUAUCUAUAAUUUUGCAUAGAGUCCCAUAAUCUUCUCGAAAGCUUAUACGUUUCUCUGAUGAAGUUUUCCACAUUUCUAUGUUUUCACUAAAGAGUACUUCUUUGAAUGGUAUUUCUGACUAAUCUAAAUCUCGUCAGGGACAUUAUCCAUUUUAAUAUUCAAAAUAAUCUUGGGUCUCGAAAUAAUAUAUUUUUUUUCUUUUUCUUUUUUUAUGUAACAAGAGAGAAAGAGAAAGAGAUACUCUCGAAAAUUUCUCUAUAUCCGUUCCAAUCUAUUCAUUGUUAUUAAUAUAGAAAAUAUCGAUGGGUUUAAACGAGAAUAAUUAUAAUAUAUUAUUUCAUCAGCGGCUUAGUCGACUUUGAAUACAGAUGUUCCAUGUUGAAUAGAAGCAAAACAUCGGAUCCUAUCGUGAUAACAUUCUUAUCUGUAUGUGUACGUGUAAGAAAGAGAGAGAGAGAGAGAGAGAAAUGGAGAAAGAGUAGGAGGAGCUCUUGGUAGACAUUUCCAAAGGCAAAAGACGUGGUUAAUGUUUCGUUAAAGGAGCAUUAAUUAAAGGCAGCCGAUUUAGUCGUGUUAAAGAGACGCUUUGCUAAUAAAAGACGGAGAUAGAGAUAGAAAGAAAGGAAGAGAGAGGGGGAGACAGAAAGAGAGAAAGAGAGAGAGAGAGAGAGAGAGAGAGAGAGAGAACGAAAUAGAGGACAAACUGGGAAAUCGUUUGAAAAGGGGAUUGAAAAGUGGGACAACGAUACGAGGGUGGAUUUGAAAGCCCACAUUUCUUGUCUGAGCACUAUGAAAGUCUCAGCUCUAUUUAAUACAUCCUCACCAUCCUCACUUCAUUUAUCUUCGAUAACGACAAAAAGGAUCAAAUAAAACAGGGCUGAUCAGUUGAAGGGUUAAUUUUUACAGUUCUAGAUUUUAAUUUAUGUCAAAGAUAUAAUCGA